CCUUGGCGUCAGCAGCCGAUGAAGGACGCAAUAAAACUGCGAAAUGCUACGGGGAGCCGUUAUGGGCUACGAUCCGUAGGUCUCCGAAUGGGGCAACCCCGCUGAGUGAAGCUCAGCGACGCAUAUCUGAAUACAUAGGGUAUAGCGAGGUAAGUCCGGGAACUGAAACAUCUUAUUACCGGGAAGAAAAUAAAACAAAACAGUGAUUCCCUCAGUAGCGGCGAGUGAAAGGGGAACAGCCUAAACCGUUAUGACGAAAGUCAUAGCGGGGUCGCGGGGACUCCAUCAAGAGAUGGGGAAGAAGUUAGCUGAAGAGCUCUGGAAAGAGCCACCAAAGACGGUGACAGUCCGGUAAGCGAAAAUUUCUGAACCUCUGGAGUAUCCCAAGUAGUACGGGGCACGAGAAACCUUGUACGAAUCUGCCAGGACCAUCUGGUAAGGCUAAAUACUGACUGACGACCGAUAGUGAACAAGUACCGCGAGGGAA
rnacentral:rRNA from 1 species